rnacentral:lncRNA from 1 species
UUUUUUUUAUCCCUAACUUUUUCCGGGACCGCUUCUUUCGGGUUUUCAGCCCACAGAUAUACCCAUUUUUUUGCCAAAGUCGCCUUUUCUAGUGUUCAACUUAGUGAGACUUUUUCUUUUUUUUUAUUAGAAAGAUUAUGACUGCCUUGUUAAUGGUUAGUGAGGAACAACCAUUUUUGAAUUUUGGUUUUUCACGAUUUCUUCGUCACUUCAGGAUGUGUGCAAAGAAGAACACGUGAUUGAUCCCUAGAUGGGAUGAUUCCUUUAGCAAAUUG